UGCUUCUUAUCGGGGUGUCCGACGAUCUGUCUGACUGAGAGUUUACCCGCUGCACCUGAUCCAGUUAAUACUGGCGUAGGGAAUAAAGGAAACUAUGCG
rnacentral:ncRNA from 2 species